GCGUUUCAGCCCGGAGCCACACGCAGCCGUCCCAGCAGCGCUCCCAGGAGCCGCGCACACCUCAGACCUUACGGCUGGUUUGUAAUAUAAUCAGCAGCCGCCCGGGCGGAGGCUGAUGUCACUCGAUUACCAUACGGUACGGUAGAGGAAACGUAGGCUGUACCAAGGGCGAAGGGGCGGUGGAGCUGGGGAAGAGCGGGGCUGGCGGUGGGACGCUGGGGAGGCUCCUUCCGCUGGAAGCGCCCGGCGUGGCGGCAGCACCCAAACCGAGGGCAGCGUACGGGAUGGCUGCCCGCGCCCCGCUGCACCACACGAGCCGGUGGUAUCUUCCUAAACAAAGCUGGUGGAAUUACACGCUUCUGUGGAGAGCCUCAUGUAACGGAAAAGUCUCAGAUUACUAUCGCUUGAAAAGGAGGGCACUUCUCUUCAUUUAUUUUCAAUACCGUUCGCUUGAAAAAGCAACACGCGCACAGAAGCACUCAUUCAGUAUUUAGCAGCAGGCGAGGAGAGGACUCAGAAAAACGUGCUCUCCAGCAUGCUGGGUACAAACGAAACCUUUGUGAAGGGGUUCUGUAAGCAGCCAAUUCCUUUCGCUCAAUUCCAUGUCGCUGCCGACGUGGAAGAUGUUGACACGUCCCGUGCACGUGAGCGCAGGUGCCCGCUCUGCCUGGUGGAGUGCAGCUCCUGGAGUUGGCUUUAGGAUGGGUCAGCUUUCCCUUGGGGCCGUGAGCUCCUUCCCUCACUUACACACAAGUGAAAUGAAAAGGUUGGCAUGUGGGCUGAACAACGGGUCCCCAAGCAACAGAUGUGACAGACUUUGUUAAUGAUGAUAUCAGCUCCUUGGGAUGGCCCCAAUCACCGGGUGCUGCCGACUCAUCUGCCAGAGCAUUACUUACGCUCUGCUGGGCCUCCUGUGGACAUUUUGAAGGCUCCACUUAACAGGUACAGGCAGAGCAGGUCUGCUCCUCUUACUAACUUGUCAUUCCUGGGACACUUGGCAACUAUCUCAGACGGUCAACUGAACACAAACUAAACAGAGCUUCUCGUCAGUAAUGCUUCCUUGUCAGAACUGCAGUUUAAUUCUUCUGUCUAAAGGGAGUUUUAGGUCAGUGGCAAAUAGAAACUUCCUCAAAGUCCCUUCCUGAUAUGUUUGGGAGAGCCAAGGACAUCGUAAUGGAAGGGAAAGGGGCAGACUGAAAAGCAGGAGACCACAGAGACUGCUGUCACUAAAGGACCUGCACACACUUCCCUCCUGCCUGGCCCAGGUAGGCCUGCAGCAGCUCAGCACUGGUCCCUGGUACAGACCUGGGCUCAGGAUGAACCUGCAUGCGGUGACAAAGGCGGCACAAACCCUUCGGGAAAACUGACGGAUCUGCCCAUAAUGUCAACCUACUACUGAAACUGGGUCAGUUCCACCUGGUUUCGAGUUUCAGAGUGAACAGUUUUCACAACUCCCAGAUGAACAGGAAAGUUGACAUGACUUUUGCAAGAGCAUGUCCUUGCUAAGCACAGCAGCGGAACGCUUGCCAGAAAAGCCUGCAGAGAAGAGCUAUUCUAGCAUUUCGUGUCUGGAAAAGAUCGUGGCUUCUCUUGGUGUGUAUUCCAGUCUAAAUGGCUUUUUCUGAGCUGUAUUGCUUCCCAUAUCAAAGCAAGAAGAACCCCUGAAGUACCCCAGAAAUGACACUUGCAGGUUUUCCUUGUGGCCCACACAGAAUGCACUCAGUUUGCGACCUGACUUAGAUGAAUAACUCUUUUAAAAAGUCUAUUAAAAUCAAGCAUGGCACACAAUCAUACAGUUAAGAUGCUCAUUUUCUCUGAAAUUUUGGUGUGAAAGCACUUCUCGAUUUGAUUCCAGAGAAGAAGUUUUAGCAUGCUAUUUUAAAAGGUGAUGUUUUUAUUGCCUCUCCUCAACCCCUCUCCUUCUCUGACUGAAUUGCACCCACAUUUAUAUGUAGGGAGAAGAAAAUGUUUCACCACUCCUUGAUCUUUUCUUCCACUUGUCCUGUUUUCUUUUUUUUUCCCCCAGAAUUAGACAACAAACAGAGGAAGAGAUGCACUGUUGCUGCACCAUAAUCACUCGGGCAUGUAAAUUCAAUCUUCUGUAGCUACCGAGCCAAAUGAGAAUCGGGUGAAAACAAUAAGCAGGACACAUUGAUCUUUAUAAAUCUCCAUAAGCCAGAUAAUUUAUUUCUACCGUUUCUCCUGCUUCCCAUAUAUGGUAGGGAAAGCAGGGAGGCUGUAUUAAUGUUUGUAAAUAUAUCCUAAUGGUGACCAGCCAUUUCAUAGGUGAUAAGUUCAGGGGAAAGAAAUAAGAAGGCACCUUUCUGCUCUGCCUGUUCCGUAACCGGAGAAACUCGAGCCUCUAAACUAGAAACCUCUGAACCAAACUGAGCUGCAUAAAGAACCUGAGCUCCUCUUAUACCUAAGCAACAAAGUUCCAGAACAGCAUAGGUACAGGCAUGAGCUGUUCCUAUAGUUCAUUCAAAAUAAACUGGGGAGAAAACAGGAAAAUGUUGUUAAAAAAGGUGUUGGAAGUUGUGUUCUUGUUGGUGUUGUUUGCUUGUAGUCCCAGAUGCAGAACUAUGAGCUGAAAGCUUCGUUUUGAAAAUCAACAUAAAUGAAAUGCUUCUUUCAAGAGAAAACCUCACCCACAACAUUUCAUCAUCUGGCGACUGCCUGUCAUUGCAAAGAAAAAAAGUUUAAUGAUCAACUGACUAAAUACUAAUUGUCUGACAUAAAGUUAUUAUUCCACAACAAGCCAUGUUUCAUUCUCACACAUGUACAAGAGCUGCCUGUGUACAACAUACAUCCACCCCAAAGGCUUAAUAACAUUUAAAGAAAGUAAAACAAUGUUUAAAAAAUCCACAUUGUGCAA